rnacentral:rRNA from 1 species
UUAGGAAUCUUGCGCAAUGGGCGAAAGCCUGACGCAGCGACGCCGCGUGGGCGAAGAAGGCCUUCGGGUCGUAAAGCCCUUUUCCGGGGGAAGAUCGUGACGGUACCCCGGGAAUAAGCCCCGGCUAACUACGUGCCAGCAGCCGCGGUAAUACGUAGGGGGCUAGCGUUGUCCGGAUUUACUGGGCGUAAAGAGCGCGCAGGCGGCCACCGCAAGUCGGCUGUGAAAUCCCUCGGCUCAACCGGGGGGCGUCGGUCGAUACUGCGGGGCUUGGAAGGCGGUAGGGGGAGAUGGAAUUCCCGGUGUAGUGGUGAAAUGCGUAGAUAUCGGGAGGAACACCGAUGGCGAAAGCGAUCUCCUGGGCCGUUCUUGACGCUGAGGCGCGAAAGCGUGGGGAGCGAACUGA